CUGCAUCCUCUGCCACAUCAUACCGCAUCCACUUUGUGGGACACUGCAUGCAGUGCAUGGGCAUGCAUCCACAUUCUGGGAAACUGUAGGGGGCACUGCAACCACUGCAGUUUCACUGCAUCCACCUUCAUGAGAAAUGCAUCAUCGGUCACAACAUACUGCAUAAAACUUUAGGUACACUGCCUUCACUGCAUGGGAAUUGAAUUCACCUUCCAGGACACAGAAGGCUGUACUGCAACCACUGCAGCAACACCGCUUCCCAGAUGAUGAGGAAAUGCAGGCACACUGCACUCACUGCAGGAUCACUGCAUCCAAUGCAUGUUCACAGCAUCCCCAUUCUGUGAAACAGCAGUAUGCAUUGCAACCACUGCAGGGACACUACAUCCAGAUGAAGUGGCACUGCAGGUGCACUGCAAUCACUGCAUCCACCUUCAUGGGCACUGAAUCCUACUUCACAACAUACUGCAUCCACCUUGGGUCACACUGCAGACACUGCAUUGACACUGCAUCCACAUUCAGAGACAUGGCAAGGGGCUCUGCAACCACUGCAGGUACACUGCAUCCAGCUGAAGUGGCAGUGCAGGCAAGCUUAAAUCACUGAAGAUUCACUGCAUCCACUGAAUAGGUACUGCAUCAACAUUUCAGGACAAUGCUGGGGGUACUGCAACCACUGGAGGGACACUGCAUCCCCCUUCAUGGGCACUGCAUCCUCCGUCACACCCUACUGAAUCCACCUUGUGGGACAAUGCAUGCACUGCAUGGGAACUGCAUCCAAAUUAUGGGAAACUCUAGGGGGCACUGUCACCACUGCAGGCUCACCACAUCCACCUUCAUGGGCACUGCAUCCUCUGAGAAAACAUACUGCAUCCGCCUUGUGAGACACUGCAUCCACUGCAUGACACCAGCGUCCAAAUUCCAGGAUAAUGGCAGGGCACUUCAACCACUGCAGGGACACUGCAUUUUACCUUCAUGGGCACUGCAUCCUCCGUCACAACAUAUUGCAUAAACCUUUAGGUACACUGCCUCCUCUGCAUGGGCACUUCAUUCACCUUCAGGGACACAGUAGCUGGCACUGCAACCCCUGCAGCGACCUGGCUUCCAGCUGAUGUGGAAAUGCAGGUGCCCUCCAAUCACUGCAGGAUCACUGCAUCCACUGCAUGUUCACAGCAGCCACAUUCAGGGAAACAGCAGGGUGCACUGCAACCAUGGGAGGGACACUGCAGCCAGCUGAAGUGGCAAUGCAGGUGCACUGCAAUGACUGCAGGAUCACUGCAUCCCCUUUCAGGAUCACUGAAUCCUCCAUCACAAUUUAAGGCAUCCACCUUGAGGGACAUUGCAUCCACUCCAUGACCACUGCAUCAACAUGCAGGUAAACUGCAGGGGGCACUGCAACCACUGCAGGAUCACUGCAUCCACCUUUAUGGGCACUGCAUCAUCCAUCACAUGAUACUGCAUGCACAUUGUGGGAAACUGCAUUCAAUGGAUUGGCACUGCAUCCACGUUCAGGGAGACAGCAGUUGGCUCUGCAACCACUGCAGCAACACUUCAUACAGCUGAAGUGUCACUGCAGGCAUACUGCUAUCACUGCAGGCUCACUGCAUCCACCUUCGUGGGCACUGCAUCCUCCAUCAGAACAUAGCGCACCCACAUUGUUCGACGCUGCAUGCAAUGCAUGGGCUCUGCAUCCACAUUCAGGAAAACUGUAGGGGGCAGUGCAACCACUGCAGGUUCACUGCAUCCACCUUCAUGGGCACUGCAUCCUCUGACAAAACAUACUGCAUCUGCCUUGUGAGACACUGCAUCCACUGCAUGACCCAAACAUCCAUAUUGAAGGACAAUAACAGGGACACUGCAACCAUUGCAGAGACACUGCAUACACCUUCAUGGGCACUGCAUCCUCCGUAACAACAUACUGCAUAAACCUUUAGGUACACUGCAUCCACUGCAUGGGCACUGCAUUCACAUUCAGUGACACAGAAGGCUGCACUGCAACCCCUGGAGAGACACUGCUUGCAGCCGAUGUAGAAAUGUAGGCACACUGCAAUCACUGCAGGAUCACUGCAUCCACGGCAUGUUCACAGCAUCCACAUUUUGGGACACAGCAGGGUGCAGUGCAACCACUGCAGGAUCACCUCAUCCACAUUCAUGGGCAGUGCAUCCUCUGUCACAACAUACUGCAUGCACCUUGAGGGACACUGCACCCAAUGCCUGGGCACUGCAUCCACGUUCUGGGACAAUGCAAUUGGCACUGCAACCACUGCAGGGUCACUGUGUACAGCUGAGGUCUCACUGCUGGCACACUGCAUUCAGCACACGCUCACUGCAUCCACCUGCGUGUGCACUGCAUUUUCCAUCACAACAUAAGACAUCCACAUUGUGGGACACUGCAACUACUGCAUGAGCACUGCAUUCACAUUCAGGGAACUGUAGGGGGCACUGCAACCACUGCAUCAUCACUGCAUCCACCUUCGUGGGCCUUUCAUACUCCAUCACAACAUACUGCAUCCACCUUGUGGGACACUGCAUCCACUGCAUGACUACUGAAUCCACAUUCCCGGACAGUGUGGCAGGCACUGCAAGCACUGCAGGGACACUGGAUCCACCUUCAUGAGAACUGCAUCAUCCGUCAUAACAUACUGCAUCCACCUUGUGGGACACUGCAUCCACUGCCUAGGCACUGCAUCCACAUUCCUGGACAAUGCAGGGUGCACUGCAACCACUGCUGCAACACUGCAUCCAGCUGAAGUUGCACUGAAGGUGUACUGCACUCACAGUCUGUUCACUCCAUCCAACUCGUGGGUACUGCAUCCUCUGUCACAACAUAUUGUAACAAAUUUUGGUACGUGGCAUCCACUGCAUGUGCACUGUAUCCACACUCAGGGACAUAGAAAAGGGCACUGCUGCCACUUCAGAGACACUGCAGCCAGCUGAAGUGGCAAUGCAG
rnacentral:lncRNA from 1 species